AUUGAACGCUGGCGGCAUGCUUUACACAUGCAAGUCGAACGGCAGCGGGGGCUUCGGCCCGCCGGCGAGUGGCGAACGGGUGAGUAAUGCAUCGGAACGUGCCCAGUCGUGGGGGAUAACACAUCGAAAGAUGUGCUAAUACCGCAUACGUCCUGAGGGAGAAAGCGGGGGAUCUUCGGACCUCGCGCGAUUGGAGCGGCCGAUGUCGGAUUAGCUAGUUGGUGGGGUAAAAGCCCACCAAGGCGACGAUCCGUAGCGGGUCUGAGAGGAUGAUCAGCCACACUGGGACUGAGACACGGCCCAGACUCCUACGGGAGGCAGCAGUGGGGAAUAUUGGACAAUGGGGGGAACCCGUGAUCCAGCAAUGCCGCGUGUGUGAAGAAGGCCUGAGGGUU
rnacentral:rRNA from 1 species